rnacentral:rRNA from 1 species
UACGUAGGGUGCGAGCGUUGCCCGGAUUUAUUGGGCGUAAAGGGCGCGUAGGCGGUGAGAUGCGUCCGUUGUGAAAUCGCCCGGCUCAACUGGGCGGGGUCAGCGGAUACGGUCUCACUUGAGCAAGCUAGGGGGCAAUGGAAUUCCCGGUGUAGUGGUGGAAUGCGUAGAUAUCGGGAGGAAUACCUAUGGCGAAAGCAGUCUUCUGGACCGUCACUGACUCUGAUCUGCGAAAGCUAGGGGAGCAAACAGG